GUUCCCGUAGCUCAACUGGAUAGAGCGACGGCCUCCGGAGCCGUAGGUUGUGGGUUCGACUCCCGCCGGGAACG
rnacentral:tRNA from 1 species